rnacentral:rRNA from 1 species
UACAGAGGGGGCAAGCGUUGUUCGGAAUUACUGGGCGUAAAGGGCGCGUAGGCGGCCUUCUAAGUCGAACGUGAAAUCCCCGGGCUCAACCCGGGAACUGCGUCCGAGACUGGGAGGCUUGAAUCCGGGAGAGGGAUGCGGAAUUCCAGGUGUAGCGGUGAAAUGCGUAGAUAUCUGGAGGAACACCGGUGGCGAAGGCGGCAUCCUGGACCGGCAUUGACGCUGAGGCGCGAAAGCCAGGGGAGCAAACGGG